GAUGAACGCUGGCGGCGUGCCUAAUACAUGCAAGUCGAGCGAACAGACGAGGAGUUUGCUCCUCUGACGUUAGCGGCGGAGGGGUGAGUAACACGUGGAUAACCUACCUAUCAGACUGGGAUAACUUCGGGAAACCGGAGCUAAUAGCGGAUAAUAUAUUGAACCGCAUGGUUGAAUAGUGAAAGACGGUUUUGCUGUCACUUAUAGACGGAUCCGCGCCGCAUUAGCUAGUUGGUAAGGUAACGGCUUACCAAGGCGACGAUGCGUAGCCGACCUGAGAGGGUGAUCGGCCACACUGGAACUGAGACACGGUCCAGACUCCUACGGGAGGCAGCAGUAGGGAAUCUUCCGCAAUGGGCGAAAGCCUGACGGAGCAACGCCGCGUGAGUGAUGAAGGUCUUCGGAUCGUAAAACUCUGUUAUUAGGGAAGAACAAAUGUGUAAGUAACUAUGCACGUCUUGACGGUACCUAAUCAGAAAGCCACGGCUAACUACGUG
rnacentral:rRNA from 1 species